UGAGAUGGUAAUUUACAAGAUAAUCGAAUACUCAACUGAUCUUUCGCAAAUUACCACAUGGUCGUGUUGUUAAGAUCCCACAAAGGCGAAAACUUUGCCGGGGGAGAUUGGACCAUUUGUUUGUCCAACAUGUACCUCAAGUUCCACCAAGGUCUUACCCAAGCAACAGUAACAAACUCUAACCAUCCAACCAAUUCCGGAGAGAAUACCUUCGGUGCGAUAGAACAAGCAACUUUCUCAUUACCAGCAAUUGUUUGUUUUCCGUUGCCGCCCACGACUGCCGUUACGGGCAUUUAACAGCCAGUGUGCCAGGUCCCAUCCAUUGCGAAGCACCCGGCGACGAUCGAAUGACAAACCGAGCUACAGACUUUGUUUUACCACCACCGACCGACCGACCGACCGGUACGCAAUAAGUGCUCGAACGGCACCUUGCCGGGUGCGGCCGCCGCUGGAACCAAGAUCUGAGGAUAAUACCGACACGGUAACUAGAAGACGACAACCGACGGAUGGUCUGUUAUGCUCAUAAUUGACCUACUGGGGAAUGAAGUUAGCAAACAGUAAGGG